UACGUAGGGGGCAAGCGUUGUCCGGAAUCAUUGGGCGUAAAGAGCGCGUAGGCGGCCCUGUAAGUCCGCUGUAAAAGUCCAGGGCUCAACCCUGGAAAGCCGGUGGAUACUGUCGGGCUCGAGUCCGGAAGAGGCGAGUGGAAUUCCUGGUGUAGCGGUGGAAUGCGCAGAUAUCAGGAGGAACACCGGUGGCGAAGGCGGGUCUCUGGGCCGUAACUGACGCUGAGGAGCGAAAGCAUGGGGAGCGAACAGG
rnacentral:rRNA from 1 species